GAUAGGAUGGCUGAGUCAUAGGCAAUAAAUUGUAAAUUUAUCAACGAAAUUUUUUCUCUUAUCA
rnacentral:tRNA from 1 species